CUGUGCGUCCCCGGACCUGGCGCACCCGCCGCGGGAGCAGCAGCCGCUGCCGCGUGAUGAGGCUGCGGACGGAGAUGCACCUGCAGAAGAGGAGACGGUCAGACAGCCCCAGACGCCUCCGCCGCCGGGGAGCCCCGGACGCCCCACUGCUCAUCUCUGCGGGAGGGGGCGGCUGGGAGGAGGAGCGCAGGCCUUCGUUUCCUUUUCUGUUUUAUUUUCAGUUCCUUUGUUUUGAAUAAAUGGACUUCUUCGGUAACAAGAGAUUACAUGAAAGCAGAGACUCUUCCAGUAUUAAUUUAGUUGGCCGGAAGCGGAGCAGGUGUUGUGAAAAGGACACAGGCAAACACGUGUUCGCGUUUGUAUGAUUUACGCCAACACCGAGCGCCGGAAAUUACAAGAUGAUCAGGAAGAGAUUAAAAAGAUAGUUUCUGCCCUCCGGGGAUUCCCAAUUAGUGGAUGAGAAAGGCGAGGAUUACAGCAUAGCACGAUGUGGAUACUUUUCUGGAACAGGCCAGUCUUCCAGCUGGCCUGUACAGACAGGAGUUAGAACCCCUGCCUCUCUCAGAGCCCCACCCUCUUGGUCCAGAUGUGGACAGAUUCAGUUGUGUUUGAGGGGACACUUGUGUGGUUGGGAAAAGAUAACCUCUGCCUC